rnacentral:tRNA from 1 species
UCAUUAAGAAACUUAAAUGCAAGUAUUGGUCUCUUAAAUCAAAUUAUGAUAAUUAGCAAAUAUCCUUAAUGAA